rnacentral:rRNA from 1 species
AACGAACGCUGGCGGCAGGCUUAACACAUGCAAGUCGAGCGCCCCGCAAGGGGAGCGGCAGACGGGUGAGUAACGCGUGGGAACCUACCCUGAACUACGGAAUAGCUCCGGGAAACUGGAAUUAAUACCGUAUGUGUCCUGAGGGACAAAGAUUCAUCGGUUCAGGAUGGGCCCGCGUCCGAUUAGCUAGUUGGUGGGGUAAGAGCUCACCAAGGCGACGAUCGGUAGCUGGUCUGAGAGGAUGAUCAGCCACAUUGGGACUGAGACACGGCCCAAACUCCUACGGGAGGCAGCAGUGGGGAAUAUUGGACAAUGGGCGCAAGCCUGAUCCAGCCAUGCCGCGUGAGUGAUGAAGGUCUUAGGAUUGUAAAGCUCUUUCGCUCGCGACGAUAAUGACGGUAGCGAGAGAAGAAGCCCCGGCCAACUUCGUGCCAGCAGCCGCCGUAAGAC